CGCUGAAGCAAACAAGGGAAGGAGAAGAGAAGUUCGCCGAAAACCUCAACUCACCGUAACUUUCCGAUCCGAGCUCCGAUUGCUGCACCGUUUGAGGUUACGCGUCCACCGCGUCAAGCUCUACGUUUCUACCGGAACAAUUUUUUGGAUCCAAUUAGCUUGAGAAAAACAUUCACUCUUGUUUAUGUGAAGUUUGGGUAAGGUUGUGAAUAAAUAAUUGGAAUUUGGAAUUGUGAAAAUUGGAACUUGGAGGAAGCUGAGCCUAGUGUUUAAUGAAUUCUGGAAGAGCUGUGUUUACUUUAAUUGAAAUUGCCUUGAACCUUACAUGGGAAUCGGCCAAGAUACAGGUCGAGAGGCGUCUUAUUAGGCGUCUGAGCUCCUGAAGUGAAGUGGUUACCGGGUUAUUUUGGUGCACAAUGAUGUAUAUGUAUGUACUUAGCUUUCUCUCUACAUAACCUAGUCUUUUGAUCCUCUUAGAGGUUUAUGGAGAGGAUAUAUAUAUUCUCCGGCCAGUCUUGAUUUCGCAGACUGAGUUAGGAGCUUGUUAUUUUGUAUUUUUGGCUCUCUAUUCCUACUUUUAUUAUUUUAUGAUUAAUGAUUACAG